rnacentral:rRNA from 1 species
GAUGAACGCUGGCGGCGCGCCUAAUACAUGCAAGUCGAGCGAACGGACGAGAAGCUUGCUUCUCUGAUGUUAGCGGCGGACGGGUGAGUAACACGUGGAUAACCUACCUAUAAGACUAGGAUAACUUCGGGAAACCGGAGCUAAUACCGGAUGAUAUUUUGAACCGCAUGGUUCAAAAGUGAAAGACGGUCUUGCUGUCACUUAUAGAUGGAUCCGCGCUGCAUUAGCUAGUUGGUAAGGUAACGGCUUACCAAGGCAACGAUGCAUAGCCGACCUGAGAGGGUGAUCGGCCACACUGGAACUGAGACACGGUCCAGACUCCUACGGGAGGCAGCAGUAGGGAAUCUUCCUCAAUGGGCGAAAGCCUGACGGAGCAACGCCGCGUGAGUGAUGAAGGUCUUCGGAUCGUAAAACUCUGUUAUUAGGGAAGAACAUAUGUGUAAGUAACUGUGCACAUCUUGACGGUACCUAAUCAGAAAGCCACGGCUAACUACGUG